rnacentral:rRNA from 1 species
GAUGAACGCUGGCGGCGUGCCUAAUACAUGCAAGUCGAGCGAAUGGAUUAAGAGCUUGCUCUUAUGAAGUUAGCGGCGGACGGGUGAGUAACACGUGGGUAACCUGCCCAUAAGACUGGGAUAACUCCGGGAAACCGGGGCUAAUACCGGAUAACAUUUUGAACCGCAUGGUUCGAAAUUGAAAGGCGGCUUCGGCUGUCACUUAUGGAUGGACCCGCGUCGCAUUAGCUGGUUGGUGAGGUAACGGCUCACCAAGGCAACGAUGCGUAGCCGACCUGAGAGGGUGAUCGGCCACACUGGGACUGAGACACGGCCCAGACUCCUACGGGAGGCAGCAGUAGGGAAUCUUCCGCAAUGGACGAAAGUCUGACGGAGCAACGCCGCGUGAGUGAUGAAGGCUUUCGGGUCAUAAAACUCUGUUGUUAGGGAAGAACAAGUGCUAGUUGAAUAAGCUGGCACCUUGACGGUACCUAACCAGAAAGCCACGGCUAACUACGUACCAGCAGCCGCAGUAA